GCCAACUUGGUCUGAGUGUACUAUGGUCGGCAGUAUAGAUGUCAUUCUAUUGGCAUAGAUUUUGGCCAGGAUCUUCACGUCCGAAUUCAAUAAGGAGAUCGGUCUGAAAUUCGCGCAUUGGGUUGGUGAUUUGCCAGGUUUGGGUAGGGUGGCCACAUUGGCCGUGAGCAUAUCUGGUGGUAUGUUCUCUUGUGUUGUGGUAAAAGUGAAAAGUGACGUUAGCCGGGGGGCGAGUAUGGAGGAGAACCUCUUGUAAUAUGUGUUUGGCAGUCCGUCUGGGCCUGGGGUUUUGUUUGGCGGCAGAUUUUGUAUAACCCUGAGCACCUCUGUUUGAGAGAUGGGUUCAGCCAGGAGCUCCUGUUGGGUCGCUGAGAGUGUAGGUAGGCGGACUUUGUCUAGAAAGGUAG